rnacentral:lncRNA from 1 species
GGUCUUGGGCUCUCGUGUAAAAUGUAUAACCAUUUAUCUCGUAACCUUGAAAUUUCAUGAUUGUGCUAGAAGAUCCCCUGGCUAACCAAGCGAGUUGUUCGUGAAUUGUGGAGUUACCCAUAAGGUGUUGACGCAACCAAGAGGGAAAAGUAUUCAUGUGAUGAUGUAUAAUCCAGGCAUCGGAUUUCAUCGGGUAUUGGGAAAAUAAAAUCUGCUUGUGUUCCUCGAUAUACGGAGCCAUAAAGAAUAAUUGUUGCAGAACAGUGAAGUGUGUUUUAUUGAACAAAUCAGUAUCAUUGCUCAAACUUGAUUUUCUUCCAAGGGUGCCCAUUCCCC